CCUACGGGUGGCAGCAGUGAGGAAUAUUGGUCAAUGGACGAGAGUCUGAACCAGCCAAGUAGCGUGAAGGAUGACUGCCCUAUGGGUUGUAAACUUCUUUUAUAUGGGAAUAAAAUGAUCCACGUGUGGGAUUUUGUAUGUACACUAUGAAUAAGGAUCGGCUAACUCCGUGCCAGCAGCCGCGGUAAUACGGAGGAUCCGAGCGUUAUCCGGAUUUAUUGGGUUUAAAGGGAGCGUAGGUGGAUUGUUAAGUCAGUUGUGAAAGUUUGCGGCUCAACCGUAAAAUUGCAGUUGAAACUGGCAGUCUUGAGUACAGUAGAGGUGGGCGGAAUUCGUGGUGUAGCGGUGAAAGGCUUAGAUAUCACGAAGAACUCCGAUUGCGAAGGCAGCUCACUGGACUGCAACUGACACUGAGGCUCGAAAGUGUGGGUAUCAAACAGGAUUAGAUACCCUUGUAGUC
rnacentral:rRNA from 1 species